rnacentral:rRNA from 1 species
UGGGGAAUUUUGGACAAUGGGCGCAAGCCUGAUCCAGCCAUGCCGCGUGCGGGAAGAAGGCCUUCGGGUUGUAAACCGCUUUUGUCAGGGAAGAAAUCUUCUGAGUUAAUACCUCGGGAGGAUGACGGUACCUGAAGAAUAAGCACCGGCUAACUACGUGCCAGCAGCCGCGGUAAUACGUAGGGUGCAAAGCGUUAAUCGGAAUUACUGGGCGUAAAGCGUGCGCAGGCGGUUUUGUAAGACAGAGGUGAAAUCCCGGGCUCAACCUGGGAACUGCCUUUGUGACUGCAAGGCUUGAUGCGGCAGAGGGGGAUGGAAUUCCGCGUGUAGCAGUGAAAUGCGUAGAUAUGCGGAGGAACACCGAUGGCGAAGGCAAUCCCCUGGGCCUGCACUGACGCUCAUGC